CAGCCUACGGCGCUAGACUUCCAAUUGACACUGCCUACUAAGCUAUAAUGAACUUUGACAAAAACUAUGGGGCAAGAUAACCCUAAACCCAAACAUGAAACCUAACCCUAACUCUAACCCUAACCUUACAUUGUUUUUUGACACAGCCUACUGCGCUAUAUUGCUCUUUGACACAGUCUUAGGCGCUAUAUUGCCCUUUGAAAUCAUAAACCACACACCAGAGACAAGACAACCUUGAAUAUUUUAUUUUUUAUAAGUAGAUGCCAUUAACACAAGUUAUUUAGUGUAAAUAAGAUAAUCUGCCCAUUACAAGGGAUGAAAAUGUGCCUGCUAAUUGGUCUCAAAUUAGUUAAAUGAGAAUAAAGCUAGUAUACUUGUUAGCAAGUUGCCCUUUGGCCAAAUAGAAUUUUGCUGUGAGCUACAAUACUUUAUUUGAUCAACCAGCAAAAAUUCUGUUAAGCCAGUGGUUGAAAAUUAAAAGAGUUGUUUCUACUUGCAAAAGUCAGUCAUUUCUUUCAAUCACUUAAGCAAUCUAAGAAGUAAGCAAAUUAAAUCAUUCUACAAUACUAAAUAGUAGGAAUCUUCAAGUAAAUAUAGAAUUCAAUGUAUUCCAUUAUAGUGUGAUCAACACAGUUUACUUCACUGGUUUAUCUGUAACUGCCACUUUAUUUUAUAGGAGAUCAUUUCAGAAGUCUGUGGGGACCAUAUGCUGGAUGGGCACAUUCGGUAAGUUUUGUUCAAAAGUUUAUGGUAGACAUUGAAUAUACAACCAUUGAUAUAAGUGAUCAGAUUAAGGUGGUAGACCUUGUUUCAGGGAGAUUACUCUUUAAAUCAGUUAUGUGUUUGUAAAAGUAAAGUUUCAUCAAUGUAUUUUAAGCAUUUACCUGAAACAGAUUGAAAAUAGUCUAUGUAACCUAGAAGCUUAGAAUAUAUUUUUGAAAAUGGUUGACACAAACGUACUGAUGAUUUUAAGAGUUAUUUCUUACCUAAUGACUCACCUUAAGGUAGCACAAUACAAAAUUUAUAACUCCAAUCCAAGUUAAAUGCUGUACUUUCUUAAUAAUGCUUGAAAUUUAUAAUUUGUAGUUUGUCUAACAGAUUACUCUUUAAAUAAAUACAAUUUAGUAUUAUGCAAACAAUUUAAUGUAACAAUAUAAUGUUAACUUGUCUUAAAAUAUUUUCCACCAAUUUUCACUUUCAAAUGAAUUACUUCUGCAUUAGGUUCCAUAGAGGUUGAUUUAUUAUAUGUUGUUCCUAUGCCAUUAUCUACAAAAUGGUUCUCAGAUUUCAAUAGAAUGUAUAGAACAAAUUUUACACCUAAUGAACAUUAUCUUCUUUAUGUGUUAGGAUGUUUACACUAAUUAGAAUUAUGAGAGAAUUGAACACCAUAGAGACAAUCGAGCACCCUUUGAAGCCAUGUUGUGUGAUUAAAUUCGUUAAAAUUUCUGUAUAGUUAAGAGAUGAUAGAGAAAUUCAUUCAAGUGAAUCUACCAAUUUUGCCAUAAUUACAUAAUAAUGAUUACAUAAUGAUUGCAUAAUAAAAUAUUGCAUCAUUUAAAAGAUUAAUUUUAUCUAUCUAUAUAUACUCUUUUAUUUCUAUGCAUUCAUAAGAAAGUUGCAGCAAUUCAAAGGUUAGUGAUGGAAGUAAAAAAAUCUUUGUAUGUGCUACCUUAAAUUGAUUUUCCAAAUGGUUCUGUUAGUUUUAACAUAUUUUUGAUAUGGUCAUUCAUGAAAAAUAAAUUUUACAAAGUCAUGACUAAAAUGUCAGAUUGAUGCAAUAACUAAUUCCAACUUAUAGUUCAAAUGAUGAUUAAAGAAUAAAAUUGUUUUUGUAUAGAUCUGUUUGCAAAUUUAUUAAUUUUAUUGUUUGCACAUUUAUGUAUCUUUUACUUUAAGGUACUGUUCACAGCUGAUCUUAAGAAGUUCAAAAGAGAAAGUCCAGAUACAAAAAUAAAGGUAACUUUAUUUCUUUGAUAGAUUCAAGACACAUCGUGUCUUAAUAUUGUAAUAAUUGUUUUAAAUUUUCUAUUUCACACCACAAUUACUGCAGAAUAUUUUUUAUUGGAUGUAUUAGUACAUCUCAAAUGUAAAAUAAAAUUAUACAAAACAUUACAAAAUCAGACUUCUCACAGCAAGCAAUCCUAAUUUUUAGUUCAUUUGACCCUUAUGGCCAUGUGAUGAACAUGUUCACAGUUGUAUUGCUUUGACUGUGCAACAGUCCUAGUCAACUUUUUCAAUUUUUAUUUUUAUGUCUUGAAAAGUAUUAUAGAUAGAGAAAAUCUGCCAAAUUCAUAAAUUCUGAGAGUGUCAAAUACUGCCUACAUGUUAUUGGGAUAUCUAGACCACUCAGCCACCUAAAUGUAUAUAUAUAUAUAUAUAUAUAUAUAUAAUGUUUCAUUUACAGGAAAAGGCAAAAAAGAAGAAAGUUAAGUAGUUGUGUUACUAAUAAUUACCUAUUUACCUGCCAGGCAGUGCCUUGUUCUAACAUAUAAAGAUAUCACUGUAGACAAUAGAAUAGAGAGAUGGAAGAUAGAGAGAUGACAGACAUUUCAUAAUUUAUUAAAGACAAAUGGACAGCAAUGGAAUAUUGUAUACAUUUUUGAUUUUCUGCAGACUGUUAUAAAUUGUUGAUAAUGAAUUGUUAGAUAUUUUUACAAGAUAAAUAUGAUAUUAUCCCAUCUAAAAUAAAGCAUU
rnacentral:lncRNA from 1 species